rnacentral:rRNA from 1 species
CCUACGGGUGGCAGCAGUGAGGAAUAUUGGUCAAUGGCCGGAAGGCUGAACCAGCCAUGCCGCGUGAAGGUCAGUGCCCUAUGGGCGUUAAACUUCUUUUGUGCGGGAGCAAUAAUGGUCACGUGUGGCCAGACGAGAGUACCGUACGAAUAAGCGUCGGCUAACUCCGUGGCAGCAGCCGCGGUAAUACGGGGGAUGCAAGCGUUAUCCGGAUUUGUUGGGUUUAAAGGGUGCGUAGGCUGGGAGGUAAGUCAUCGGUGAAAUGCCCCCGCUCAACGGGGUGGAGUGCCAGUGAUACUGGCUUGCUGGAGUGCGUAUGACGUGGGAGGAAUGUGUGGUGUAGCGGUGAAAUGCAUAGAUAUCACACAGAACACCGAUUGCGAAGGCAUCUCACGGAUCCGCGAUUGACGCUGAUGCACGAAAGCGUGGGUAGCAAACAGGAUUAGAUACCCGGGUAGUC